rnacentral:rRNA from 1 species
GACUCAACGCGGGAAAUCUUACCGGGUCCGGACAUAUCGAGGAUUGACAGACAGUUACCAUGCCCUUUCGAAAGGAGUCAGGUUUUAAACCUAAUGGCUCUUUCAUGAUUAUAUGAUAGGUGGUGCAUGGCCGUUCUUAGUUCGUGGAGUGAUCUGUCUGCUUAAUUGCGUUUCAAAUUUUUAUUUGAGGACCAGGUUUUGGUUUGGGUAGUGGUCCUACGAUGACUGUGAACUGUCAUGUCUUCGGAUGUGCGACUAUCGGUCUAGGAUCGCAUCUCAGCCCCUGGGACUCUUUUGAACGCAACGGACGUGAUUGCAACCCCUUGUUGAGAUUAGAGGAGUCUCGAUAUUCAUUGGCCAAACUUACCGCUUCGAGCUUGCUCGUGCAGUUUUGUUAGCCGGUGGAUAAACUCGGGGGACUGCUGACUAUAACCAUUUCUCAAAACAGAGGAAGGUGCG